AGGGGUAAACCUGAGAAACCCGAAAGGUCGAAGGAAGAAAUUCAUUCGCGUUUCGACGAGGACGUCGAGCGGUCGAGCGACGCGAGACGUUUUUACGACUCGCGCGCCCUCCGCGCGUCGAAUCCGCGACGAACGCGUGCACUUUUCUUCUGGUAGGACGUCGCGAUCCGUUGGGCGUCAGCCUAAGGCGAGCGGUGGAGCCCGCCGGUAGCUUCGCGCUUCCGGCGAACCCGUUCGUUUCCCGGCUGACUCGCUCGACGGUAUUCGAAUGGUUAGGGGCCGCUCAUUUUCGGAGCGUUCGACUCUCGGCAAGCGCGUCAGACGCGUCGGCGAUCGGACCCGGUGCCGAUUCCGGCCUCUGACGACUGUUGGCCGUUGAAGUUCUCGAACAGACCCCGUCGACCGAUCGGCGACGCUAUAGCUUUGGGUACUUUCAGGACCCGUCUUGAAACACGG
rnacentral:rRNA from 1 species